GAUGUGGAACAACGACACGCCCAUCAGCAUCUCCUCGCAGCCGCCGCUCUUCUGCCUCAUCAGCAACAGGUCGUCGACGCUAAGCUUCUACAGGAGGAGGAGCAGCGCCAGCGGCAGCGGCUUGCGGCGCCGCCGCUCGAGGCCGACGGGAGGUCGCCGCCGCACCGGCCCCCGCGGGCGCAGUCCGCAGCUGGGUCGGCGCGAGGGGAGGCCCGACUCAAGGACCCGGCGCGGCGGCAGCAGCCAUAACAUGAACCUCCCCAGCCGUACCGCCGGGCACUCGAGGACCUGCUCGCGCGCCUUCGGGCGGCGCAACCAGAACUGGGAGUACCCCAACCUCUACAUGUGGUGGAACUAGCCGAAGAACGGGGGCGACGGCGGGCGGAACGACGGGGGGAACGACGGGGGGAACGGGCUCGACGGCGGCGAGGCCCCUGACCCCGAGGCGACGACGAAGGCCACUAGGUAGUCGACUCGAGCGAUCACCUACCCGGCCGUCCUUCCCCUCGUCGCUCCGCUAGACCAAGCAGAGUCUUCCUUCUCUCCCCUCACUCCCGAAGACGACGCCGACCAGGACCGGUACAUGCUUGUUUCCGAUGACCGUAACACCCCCUAAAAAUC
rnacentral:rRNA from 1 species